rnacentral:rRNA from 1 species
UGACCUCGGAUCAGGUAGGGAUACCCGCUGAACUUAAGCAUAUCAAUAAGCGGAGGAAAAGAAACCAACAGGGAUUGCCCUAGUAACGGCGAGUGAAGCGGCAACAGCUCAAAUUUGAAACCUGGCGCAAGCCCGGAUUGUAAUUUGUAGAGGAUGCUUCUGGGCAGCGGCCGUUCUAAGUUCCUUGGAACAGGACGUCAUAGAGGGUGAGAAUCCCGUAUGUGACCGGCCCGCACCCUUCACGUAGCUCCUUCGACGAGUCGAGUUGUUUGGGAAUGCAGCUCUAAAUGGGAGGUAAAUUUCUUCUAAAGCUAAAUACCGGCCAGAGACCGAUAGCGCACAAGUAGAGUGAUCGAAAGAUGAAAAGCACUUUGGAAAGAGAGUUAAAAAGCACGUGAAAUUGUUGAAAGGGAAGCGCUCCCAACCAGACUCCGCGGCGGUGUUCCGCCGGUCUUCUGACCGGUCCACUCGCCGCCGCGGGGCCAACAUCGUCUGGGGCCGCCGGAUAAGACCGGAGGAAUGUAGCUCUUUGAGUGUUAUAGCCUCCGGUGAUGCGGCGCGCCCCGGGCGAGGUCCGCGCUUCGGCAAGGAUGUUGGCGUAAUGGUUGGCAGCGGCC